CAAUAGCGUAUAUUAAAGUUGUUGCAGUUAAAAAGCUCGUAGUUGGAUUUCUGGUGGGAGCGAUCGGUCUGGCGCUUAGCGCGAGUACUUGCAUCGUCUCCGGCCAUCCUUGGGGAAAGUCUGUCUGGCAUUAAGUUGUCGGGCAGAGGAUCCUCAUCGUUUACUGUGAAAAAAUUAGAGUGUUCAAAGCAGGCUUAUGCCGUUGAAUAUAUUAGCAUGGAAUAAUAAGAUAGGACUUUGGUACUAUUUUGUUGGUUUGCGCACCAAAGUAAUGAUUAAUAGGGACAGUUGGGGGUAUUCGUAUUCCGUUGUCAGAGGUGAAAUUCUUGGAUUUACGGAAGACGAGCUACUGCGAAAGCAUUUACCAAGGAUGUUUUCAUUAA
rnacentral:rRNA from 1 species